GUCUACAGUCAUACCACCCUGAACACACCUGACCUUGUCUGAUCUAGGAAGCUAAGCAGGGUUGGGCCUGGUUAAUCCUUGAACGAGAGACA
ensembl:rRNA 5S_rRNA 5S ribosomal RNA